rnacentral:snoRNA from 1 species
UCCAAUAACGAACUUACUGAUGGGUAGACAGAGACCGUGUACUGAUUGUCAAGUUGUGAUUUA